AUUGAACGCUGGCGGCGUGCCUAAUACAUGCAAGUCGAACGCAGUGGGGACGGGUGAGUAACACGUGGGUAACCUCCCAUCAGAGGGGAUAACACUUGGAAACAGGUGCUAAACCGAUACUGAUGGAUGAACCCGCGGUGCAUUAGCUAGUUGGUGAGGUAACGGCUCACCAAGGCCACGAUGCAUAGCGGACCGGAGAGGUUGAUCGGCACACAUGGGACUGAGACACGGCCCAGACUCCUACGGGAGGCCGCAGUAGGGAAUCUUCGACAAUGGACGAAAGUCUGACCGAGCAACGCCGCGUGAGUGAAGAAGGUUUUCGGAUCGUAAAAUUCUGUUGUUAGAGAAGCGGUAUCUAACCAGAAAGCCACGGCUAACUACGUGCCAGCAGCCGCGGUAAUUC
rnacentral:rRNA from 1 species